rnacentral:rRNA from 1 species
UACGUAGGGCGCAAGCGUUGUCCGGAAUUAUUGGGCGUAAAGAGCUCGUAGGCGGCUUGUCACGUCGAUUGUGAAAGCCCGAGGCUUAACCUCGGGUCUGCAGUCGAUACGGGCUAGCUAGAGUGUGGUAGGGGAGAUCGAAUUCCUGGUGUAGCGGUGAAAUGCGCAGGAUAUCAGGAAGAACACCCGUGGCGAAAGGGCGGCUCCUCGUGGGGAAGCGGGU